ensembl:lncRNA
GAGCGGCAGGGGUCAGACGGAAUGGGAGGAAGAGAAUUGACUUAUAUUGAGCUGGGUGUCAGGCCUCUUGUCAGAGGUUUCACACACUUUAUCCGACUUAAUCCUUCUACCCUGGGAGAUAGGUAUUAUUAUAGGCUUUUUUUCCCCUUCCAGAUGAGAGAACAGAAUCAGAGAGGUUAAGUGUCUUGCCCAGGGUCACACAGCUAGUUAGUGGUGGCGCCAGGAUCUGGACGGAGGUGGGUCUGAACCUCCGAAAUCUGCUCUUUUCACUCCUGAGAGCGGUCUCAUCGCGCUUUCAAAAGACGAGAUGCGUUAAAAUACAUCGGAUGCUGGCGGUAUUCGGUGGAACCGCCUCCUAACCCCGCCCCCAAUCCACGAAAUGGGUUUGCGGUCCAGCACUUAACUACACUCCUCCCCUCCUCCUGCCCACCUUCUUGAGAGCCUUGAAAACUGUCCAGUAUUUCCAUGAAUUUAUCAAAUGUCAAGGACCUCAGAUCUCUCAGAGAAGAAAACAGACCCGGCUUCAAGCUGUGUCACCAGCUGAAGGCGGAAAGCCAUUUUUUUCUGAGCCUCGGUUUGUUGGCUUUAAAAUGGGCACGCUGUUCUCCAGCUCAGAAACUGUGGGUUCAGCCCUCGCCGAGGCUUCUGGCCGGGCCACAGCGAGGGGCUCGGCUCUGCAGUGGGUUCGGGGCGCCCCAAGUACUCGGGCCGAAGCAUCAGGGAGUCUGGGGCAUUCCUCUGGUCUUGCAAAUUCCUCUCCUGCAGGAGGAUGCGGAACGCGGGAGGGAGGUCCGCCCUGCCCCGCGGAUGGAGGGAGGCCCGUGGUGCCUGUGGAGGUGGGGAACCUCGGAUUUCACCCCCAGCUCGGCAGCUCCGGGAAAGAGAGAGCGAGAGACCAGACAGGGCGGAGACAGGCAGGAACGGUGAUCAAGAGACGGAGGAAGGCAGAGAAGCCCGAGCAAAACCAGAAUCGGAUCCACGGAGAUGGCGGAGGGUACAGCGAUGGAUGCAGCGAUGCUGAGAGCCAACGAGCCUCCGCGAUUCGGACACUUGGGAGAGGCCUAAAUGUCGAGUGAAAUGGAAAGCGCGUUUGGGAUGCCUAGGAAGGCCAAAGCUGAGACUGGAAAAGAGGGGAGUCGAGGCAAGGCCAGGGCGUGUCUCCUGGAAACGUGGCCCAGACCCCUGCCGUCGCGGGCCACCCCCCUCCCGCAGGACUGUGGGGAGCUCGCAGGACGCCUCUUCCGCGACCAGGCGGGUCCCCAACAGACUGGAGAGGGGCGGGGGACUACGUGGUUGUGGGAUGGCUGGGCCCCUCUCACUGCAGCUCCCACCCCGCUCCUCUUUCCCCCCCAUGGGGUCCCUGGCUUUUGGCAUUCCUUCCCUGCAUUCAUUCUCCCUCCCUCCCUCCCUCUCUCUUGCUGAGUCUCUGUCUCUGAGGUGGGUCUCUGUCUCAAGUGCAUCUCUCUUGGUCUCUUCAGGUGGAUGUCGCAGCCGCUCUCUCUUCAUCUCUCGCCUGUCUCUAAGUCAGUCGGUCUCUCCCCAUUACCCUGUCUCUUUUCUCCCCUGCCUAUCUGCCCAGUCUCUCUAGCCCCUCGCCCCCGCCCCCCCGCCCCCCCCCCGCCCCCCACUUCAGUAGGAAUCACGGCCUUCAAGUCACUCAGAAGCUGAUGCAACGCGAGCAAGCGUUCUCUGCAGGUCGUUUUCGGUUUUCCGAGCAGCGGAGCAGCCGUGCGCACCUUCGGAGCUGCAGAAAGCACCCGUCCCUGCCCUGGCUCCUGCCUCUCCCGCCCAUGGCCUCGAGCUACUAAUUUCUCUUCUGAGCCUGUUUUGGCAUCUGUGAGCUGCACAAUGUGUCUUCCUCCUAGAGUCGUCGGGAGGACCAAAAAGGAAAGUGACAAAAACGGCACGGGGCCCAGCGCUGGCGCCCAGUAGGCCCGGCAGACCUCUGAGGUGCCAGCUUAGAGUCCACCGCCACCGUCCCAGAACCCGACGGUGGAACCCGCGUGCGAGUGCAGGUCACGCGGGGAGGGGACAAGAGGGACUCGGGAACAGACUGGGACAGCGGGCAGCGCAUCGGUCGGGAGAGGCCCUCGGCCAUGUCGGUGGCCCUCGACCCAGUUCGGGGCACGUAGGCCCAACCCCACCGCUCCCUCCUGGCUACUCACGCGCCCUCCUAAGGGCUCAGAAGCCGUGGAGCCUUCACUCUUGCGUUCUCCACCCUCCAGACCGCACCGCCUGCGCCCUAUACACGACUCCCUUCCCGCCUUCGCCGUCCUUGGGCCUCGCUUUCCUGACUAGUGAGCGGGUAGCAAGAGUACCCACCCCGUGAAGGGAGCCGGGGGCUCGCUGUGCGGUGGCCGCUUUCCUGGGUAGAGCGGAGGGCGGGGUGGGGUGGGGUGGGGAGGGGGGGUCUCCAGCACGCAGCAAGCGCGCAGUCAGUGCGCUGUGGAACACCCAUGCUCCGUAGCUAGGGAAACUGAGGCCCAAAGAGGAGUCAUUUUCCCACAGGCCUCCGAGCCAGAAACGGACAGAACUGGCACUAAAAUGCAGGUUGCCCAAUUCCUAACCCAGUGCUCAUCCUUCCCCGCCCCCAGGAAGGUCAGGAAACCUGGGCGUCCUGCGGCCUGUCUAAGCCGCUUCCACCUGCGACCGGUGGCCGAGGGCCCAGUUCCCUCGUGAGGACUCGUGCAGAGACUGUAAAGGGCGCGGCACCCUGGCGCACUGUGGCCCUGGGAGGUUCAGGGACUCGGGCUAGGAGCCUUGGGGCAGGGCUCAGGUCUAGGAGCUGGAGGGGGAAUUGAGGAGCGCUGGAGGGAGCCUGCUUUGACCCAGCACCUAGCCAGGUGCUUCAAGUGCAUCAUCACAGCUAGUUUCACAACAGUCCCGAAGGUGGACACCCCGUUUCCAGACGAGAAAACCGAGACUUGGAGAGUUGAAGUACCGUGUUCCGGGCCGAGCAGCUGGGCAUCGGGGACACCAGGACUGGAGUCAGCGCCAUCGCGCAGUUUUCACUGAGCCACGUGUGCGUGGGGGGGGGGGAGGUCUUUGUUGCGCCCCUCCCAGCCUUUACGUGGGGUGGUGGCCCACGCAGGCUUUAAAUGCUGGAGGCCUGGAUUCCGGUGUUUUCCCCAGCAGCAAGCGAGUCUGGCGCUAGCGCUGUGGGUCGUGGGGACUCCCCCGCAGGUUCCGGGUGCGCACGUGUCUGGGAGCGGCUGCAGCUGCAGAGCCACGCCCCUCGCCACGCCACGCCCCCUCGCCACGCCCCUCGCCACGCCCCUCUGGUCUCCGGGGUCGCAGGCGGCGCUGUCCCAGCACUGUGACCCGGGUCGGUGACAGCCCUGCCUGCACCUCAGUUUCUUGGUCUGUGUAACGGACGUGCUGAACCCCUGCCGUCCUCCCUGAGGCUGUGGGAGAGGAUCCGAGUUCAAGCAAACCGGAAAACCGAGGAGGCCAGUGGCAGGCUGGUUUACAUAUGGGAAAGCUGGAGUGAAAUAGUUUACAGGAACAAAAACACAUAAAAACACCAAAGGCUCUAAGAUUUCUCCUGGCACCCCAGGGGGUUUUCGGCGCGCCCCACAGCAUGGAUGUCCUCCACUUUGGAGACGCCUGCUCUAGACGCCCUGGCGGGGAGCCUCUCCCACGCAGGGCCUGGUGCUUCCGCUGCCCCAGCUCUGACCCCUGCGCGCCAAGGCUCCCCGGAGCAAGCCUGUGUGGACCCCCAGGACUAGUCCGGGGCCUGGCCUAAAGACUGGACGCCUCAGAGGACCGGUGAACGGAUGACUAACAGGCACAUCAAAACCUUCAGCACUUGUUCGACCCCUAACCCAGGGCACCCGCCGUGAGCCAGCUGCACUGGGGUAGGGGUUAGGGCGGGAGAGCAGAGCCUUGGGGUUAAGGGUGAAGAGUCCGCCUGAGCGUUGAUCAAAUCGUUCUUGAAUGGCGUUCUAAAAAGAACCCUGAAGUCACCCUUCCUCAGUUGCUGGCUCUGCCUCCUUUCAAUCUCCUUUGAACUCCAAGACGGGUUCUAGCGGCCUCUUUCUCUGAAGAUAGGAAGCUGAGGCCUAAAGGGGCCCGACAGCGUGCUCGGUGUCGCCAAGAAAGGUCUGUGCCGACUCCAGGUCCAGCACCCGGACCCGCCCCCACCCUGCAGCGCUGGCC